rnacentral:rRNA from 1 species
AUACGGAGGGUGCAAGCGUUAAUCGGAAUUACUGGGCGUAAAGCGUACGUAGGCGGUCCGUUAAGUUAGAUGUGAAAGCCCCGGGCUUAACCUGGGAACUGCAUUUAAAACUGGCGAACUAGAGUUGAGUAGAGGGGAGUGGAAUUUCAGGUGUAGCGGUGAAAUGCGUAGAGAUCUGAAGGAACACCAGUGGCGAAGGCGACUCCCUGGACUCGAACUGACGCUGAGGUACGAAAGCGUGGGUGGCAAACGGGAUUAGAAACCCUAGUAGUCC